AACGAGGUAGUUUAUUAAAAAUACGACUUUUGCGUUGUCCAGAAGGGUUUGGGUACGUCCUGGCUCCCUUGUUA
rnacentral:tRNA from 1 species